UACGUAGGGUGCGGAGCGUUUGUCCGGAAUUACUGGGCGUAAAGAGUUCGUAGGCGGUUUGUCGCGUCGUUCGUGAAAACUUGGGGCUUAACUCCAAGCGUGCGGGCGAUACGGGCAGACUUGAGUACUACAGGGGAGACUGGAAUUCCUGGUGUAGCGGUGAAAUGCGCAGAUAUCAGGAGGAACACCGGUGGCGAAGGCGGGUCUCUGGGCCAAUACUGACGCUCAUGCACGAAAGCGUGGGGGAGCAAACAGG
rnacentral:rRNA from 1 species